GAUGAAGAAGCAGCGAAAUGCGAUAAGUAAUGUGAAUUGCAGAAUUCAGUGAAUCAUCGAAUCUUUGAACGCACAUUGCGCCCGCCAGUAUUCUGGCGGGCAUGCCUGUCCGAGCGUCAUUUCAACCCUCGAACCCCUCCGGGGGGUCGGCGUUGGGGAUCGGCCCUUUACGGGGCCGGCCCCGAAAUACAGUGGCGGUCUCGCCGCAGCCUCUCCUGCGCAGUAGUUUGCACACUCGCAUCGGGAGCGCGGCGCGUCCACAGCCGUUAAACACCCCAAACUUCUGAAAUGUUGACCUCGGAUCAGGUAGGAAUACCCGCUGAACUUAAGCAUAUCAAUAAGCGGAGGA
rnacentral:misc_RNA from 1 species